UGGGGGAUAUUGCACAAUGGAGGAAACUCUGAUGCAGCGAUGCCGCGUGAGGGAAGAAGGUUUUCGGAUUGUAAACCUCUGUCCUAAGGGAAGAUAAUGACGGUACCUUAGGAGGAAGCCACGGCUAACUACGUGCCAGCAGCCGCGGUAAUACGUAGGUGGCAAGCGUUGUCCGGAAUUACUGGGUGUAAAGGGAGCGUAGGCGGUAUAAUAGGUUGCUUGUUAAAGAACAGGGCUCAACCCUGUAGUGCGAGCAAAACCGUUAUACUUGAGUGAAGUAGAGGUAGGUGGAAUUCCUAGUGUAGCGGUGAAAUGCGUAAAUAUUAGGAGGAACACCAGUGGCGAAGGCGGCCUACUGGGCUUUAACUGACGCUGAGGCUCGAAAGCGUGGGGAGCAAACA
rnacentral:rRNA from 1 species